AAGAAAUAUAUUUCUGAAAAAAAUAUAAUAAUUUAAAUUUUUUACAAAAUAAGAAAUAUUAUUAGGAAAUUUACAAAAGUUUACAAAAACCUUUCCUAAAUAUAUAGGUAAUCCCUGCUAAAUAACCAAAUAAUCAGAUUAGUAGCAUAAUUAAUUGCCACUUAAUUGGUGGACUGUUUGAACGGGAUUUUUUUUUGAGAGGCCUAAUUUAUUAUUUAUAAUUAAAGAUAUUAGUCAGUGAAAAUACUUCUAAAUAAAAGGAAGAAGAUAAGACCCUAAAAGUUUUUUUUUAUAGUUGGGGCAACUAAAUUUUAUACACAUUAUAAAACAUAAAGUUAAUAGUUACUUUAGGGAUAACAGCGUAAUACUAAAUAUUAUGUUCAAAACAAUAUUUAGGAGUAUGACCUCGAUGUUGAACUAAGAGAAUCUUUUAGUAAAAAGAAAAAAUUUGAGUCUGUUCGACUAAACUCUCUUACGUGAUUUGAGUUCAAACCGGCAAAAGCCAGGUUGGUUUCAACCUCCUUAAAAAAAGAGUUGGGAUAGUACGAAAGGACCAAUCAACAAUUACUAAUAAAGUUAUUAUUAAUGUUUCUUUGUCGAGGAAAAGAACUUCUAAUUCUGCAAAUAAAGUUUUUAAAAAAUAUUUUUCUUGUAAAAAAAAGUAA
rnacentral:rRNA from 1 species